UACGUAGGGUGCAAGCGUUGUCCGGAAUUAUUGGGCGUAAAGAGCUCGUAGGCGGUUUGUCGCGUCUGCUGUGAAAACUCAGGGCUUAACUCUGAGCUUGCAGUGGGUACGGGCAGACUAGAGUGCGGUAGGGGAGACUGGAAUUCCUGGUGUAGCGGUGAAAUGCGCAGAUAUCAGGAGGAACACCGGUGGCGAAGGCGGGUCUCUGGACAGUUCCUGACGCUGAGG
rnacentral:rRNA from 1 species